GACGAACGCUGGCGGCGUGCUUAACACAUGCAAGUCGAACGGAAAGGCCCUGCUUUUGUGGGGUGCUCGAGUGGCGAACGGGUGAGUAACACGUGAGUAACCUGCCCUUGACUUUGGGAUAACUUCAGGAAACUGGGGCUAAUACCGGAUAGGAGCUCCUGCUGCAUGGUGGGGGUUGGAAAGUUUCGGCGGUUGGGGAUGGACUCGCGGCUUAUCAGCUUGUUGGUGGGGUAGUGGCUUACCAAGGCUUUGACGGGUAGCCGGCCUGAGAGGGUGACCGGCCACAUUGGGACUGAGAGACGGCCCAGACUCCUACGGGAGGCAGCAGUGGGGAAUAUUGCACGAUGGGCGGAAGCCUGAUGCAGCAACGCCGCGUGCGGGAUGACGGCCUUCGGGUGGUAAACCGCUUUCGCCUGUGACGAAGCGUGAGGGACGGUAAUGGGUAAAGAAACACCGGCUAACUACGU
rnacentral:rRNA from 1 species